rnacentral:lncRNA from 1 species
CGUGUUCUGCAGCGCCCUCGCGUACGAGAACGACACGUGCCACGGGUUGGGCCCCUGGUUCAUCGCGUUCAGGUUCUGCGUCGCCUCCACCUCCGACUGCCCACCCGACAAGAACUGCACCAAACAACAAUCAAUCAAUAUUAUCGAUCAGCUCUACUUUCAGGUUUAUUCUUGAUCAUCUACAUCUGCAGAGACAGUUAGUAGUAUCGUUGUGCAAGAAGAAUCAUGUCAGAAUUAGCAGAUCAACAUUUGCAGUGGCAGUUUCUUGAUCAACAUUUCCAGUCAGGUUAAGCCAUUUUGCAAGAAGAAUCAGGUUAAGCUUUUAACAUUUGCAGCGGCAGUUUCUUGAUCAACAUUCCAAGUCAGGUUAAGCCAUUUUGCAAGAAGUAAAGCAAUAUUAGUAGCUUCCUAAGCUUUAGUUUCAGUUUCUUUAUCAGUGGUAGAAUGCUGACCAUGAUGCCGGGGACGGCAGGGGGGAUCCUUCUGUGGAGGAGCUUGAGGGUGUAGUCAGAUACUUGCUCAGGGGUGGCCCUGUCCUUGCACUCGGCACCGGGUGUCACCAUGCUUGGCUUGAGGAGGAUGCCCUCGAACAUCACAUUGUUCUCGGCCAUGUAGAAGAAGGUCUCCGCCCACACCUUCUGCGCCACCUCGAAGGUCCUGUCGAUGCCAUGCUCACCGUCGAGGAGGAUCUCAGGCUCGACAAUCGGCACCAGCCCGUUGUCCUAGUAUUAUUCAAGAAAAUUGUUCAUGCUUGCAGCAUCAUCAGGAAAGAGAUUUAUUAUGUUCUUGCAGUUUUUGUUCUGUAAUCAAGUUUGAUAUGUACCUGAGAAAUGGCGGCGUAGCGGGCAAGGCCCCAGGCAGCCUCCUUCACGGCGAGUUCAGAUGGGCCGUUGGGGAUGCUGACAACAGUGCGCCUGAAGAUGAAGAACUUCAUGUCAGACACUGGAAUGAUAUCCACAAAUGAUAGUAUGUGAAAGGUAACUGGCCAUUAUAUUUGUAGGUGAAAAAUUUGUCUCACCACUUGGCGAAGCGAGCGCCCUGCUGGUAGUAUGCCGCCUCGCGCGAGGCAAGGCCGUCGAGACCUUGGCACCAUGACUCGUUGUUGGAGCCAGCAAGGGGCACAAGACCCUGACAUCGAGCACAAAUUCAGAAGAAUUAAUGUUGUAGUUCCUUCAAUCUAGAACAAUGAUUUUCUCUAGUAAUAACAACUCUAACACAUUCAGUUCUUUAACAGCUUUAAUAAAUUUGAUACUACUUUGAAUGAGCAACAAGGAUCAGGGGUCAGUUUGGAGUGAAAUUCAUACCUUGUCGACCUUGAUACCUGGAACGAUUUUCUGCUCAGUGAGGAUGUCGACAAUCUUCUUGCCAUCUACAGUUGACUGGUACAGAGUCUCCUCGAAGAGGAUAGCACCGGAGAUGUACUGUCCCAAGCCCGGUGCGGUGACAAGGAGGGUCCGGUAAGCCUGGCGGUUGGCCUCGGUGUUCUCAAGGCCAAUUGACGCAAGCCUCUUACCGCAGGUCGCGUUCGACUCAUCCAUGGCAAGGAUACCCCUUCCUGGUGAUGCAAUGGUUUUCUACAGCAAGAAGGAUAAAGUUUUUAAUCUUCUAGUUCUGAACCAUAAUUGAAUGAAAAACUCAUCUUAAGAAUUUAUUAUCCAAAGUUGAUAAAAGUAUGCUUGUUAUGUUGUAGGAUUAGAAGUUCCAAACUUUUCUUCUGAAUUAUGACCUGCAGAUGGUUCAUAGAACAUAAGCAGGACACAUGAAUGCUUCAUGCUUUAUCCUUACAACUGCUAGUGGUUAACCCAUGUCAUGUCUUGAUGCAGAUGUCGAGUUUACAAAUGUAUUACUAGUAUAUUUUGAGUCUCUAAGUUCAUUUGGUAUACACAAAUCAUAUCUAUUUUGCUUUCUGUGAAGUUGAAGAUAGAAAUUUUCCUUCAAAUGCAUUAUAUAACUUUGAAGAGUAGAUUUGAACUAGAGAUGCCAGUAUAUUUGAAUCAUGUUAUAUCAAAACAAGUGUUUUAUGUUCACUGAAUUCUGCUAUAUAUAACUUAGCUUGACUGCACAUCCUAUUUGAUUUCCUGACGAUAAAGUGCUUAUAUCUAUCAUAAAACUACAUAAAGUUCCUUCACUUGUCAUUGAUAUAAAGAGGAAACAAAUGCAUGCCAAAAACCAUAGAACAGUACGGAUGAUAUUCAGAAAGCAUACCGCGGUCUUGACAAGCUCAUCGUCGUAGGCACCAGCGCGGACAACCAUGGAGACAGUCACCGGCUUGGGGGCGGCAGCCUGGCGGGUGGCACCCCAUUCAGACUUCUUGGGAAGGAAAGAUGACUUGAGGAGAGUAGCAGACGCCAUUGCUUCCGGUUUCUCUGAAGGCAAAGGAGAGCAAGGUGCUACUACCCUCUCCUUGACACAGGCCUUUUCUUUGCAGUCUUUCCUUAGAGGGGGGGUGAGAAGUGCAGCAACUUCUCAGAUUUAAGGGCAAAAGGGAUAUGAGUUGUGAGGUGGAGGUUGGCCUCCUGGAUAUGAAUGGCUCUGCUUUGGUUGCUCCAAUCCUCUUGCCACCACCUCCUUUGUCCUGACCCUGGCAACAUGAUUUCCUCCCCAUGAUUUUCCUUUCCCUUUUUUUUGUGUACCAUGUAAAAACAGAGUUUUUUCUUCUUCGCGAUACGCGGUCCAUAAAUAAGGAUCAUCCCUGGCUGGAUGAUGAAGAAUUCUGGCUUUCUGUGGGUGCAUUUCACCAGGAACUGUUGCCCAUAGGCGUCUUUCGAGUUUCGACGGUGGAGAUGUCCUGAUAUAUGACAUCCAUGAACCUGUCCUGACCAUUGAAAUUCACAAGAAUUUCCUGUUGGUGUUUGGGUGAUAACAACUCCAGCAGUGAGUUGUUUGUUGUAUGCUGGGUCCCUUCUGUGGCACACAUUGUUCUAGUAGAUCAGGAGACAGAUGGCUGCAGAAGACAUAUUCACCACUAAUUUGACAAGUCUAUGCCAAGAGUGCCUUCAAACAAUUCCAGCCAUGUAGUAGUCUUGCAGAUCAUCUGUGGUAGCACUUGAUAUGAUAAUCACAAUUAGGAUAGAUAUGCCUUUCCCUAGCUCCACUAAUAUGUCUGAAGCUACUGAAUGUAAUACAAGGAUGGGAGAAAUCAUGCACAUAAUCAGAGUGAAAGAUGAUUGAGAAAAUUGAAGGCCAAAAAACAAACAUAAAUGACAUAUUAUUCUACUACCCACCAAAAACAUUGAUAUCAGAGAUCCAAGUUGGUAGAUGGCACCUAUUGGUCUCAAUGAAAAGGAAAGAGACAAAGUACCAUGAAAGAGAUUUUACUAUUGAAUAACAAAAGCUGGGAUAGUUACAAAAUAUUUACAAGUGCAUAAUUGUGGCCUACUUAAAUCGGAUGAACUCCUAUAACUCAGGAGAAAUUCAUCCACACAUACACCUGUGGCUAUGUUUCUGAAGAAAAUAUAUCACGCCCACACAAAAACGUUCAGCAUCACAAGGAUGCAGUGCAUGUUGUCUCUGCAGCACAUUUGAACAUAAGAUCUGUAUAUUUUUGUCUUAGGCUUGUAGCAUCCAAAAGCUCAUAUUGAGGUUUCUUCAAUCAGUUCAGGCAGAUUGUAAAUUUGUAUGAAGACCUAGUUUUCUGCUGUACAUGAAUUUGUUAUAUUUAAAACAAAGGUAAAUACAUGGCAUGAAGCACAUAUUGUGUCCAGUUAAAUGUAUUCCAUUUCCAUCCUUCAGGUGAGAAACCAAUGCCAAGGCCAGUUCAUUAUCUCCAUAACCAUGAAUAUGAGUAUGCUAACAAGGUUGUGUAGUUCACUGGAUGGGUUAGACUGUAACUCUGUAAACAAAUGUGUCUGUGAUGCGAUGUAACAUGUCAGCAGAGAUUUAGUAUGCGUAGCUCUGCUCAUAUGACCAGCUGUUGGUAAGCCACAUUCUACAAUCCGUAUUCUUCCACCUUCAAAGCAUGCGUUCACCUCUACACGUGAUGCCAUACAAUCUUCAAGUCCUCUUUCCAGGUCUUCCUGAAGAUCCCAAAAGGAGAAAUUGCGGGCAAGUGGUGUUGAGUUCAUUCCUAACAUGCUACUCUGUUGAACAGUAAAAGGGUCUAGUUUGAGCAAACUCUGUUGUUCAAAUCCAUUGCUUUAGAAGCCUCAUCAAUGGGUUGCCCACAAGUUUUUUCGGUUUCUUCAGGACUAGCAGAAGAUAAAAAUGCCACAAGUUUCUGCCUCAGCAUCGGUGAAAGCUUCUCACAGCAUGUCAAUAUAUCCAAGGAAGGGACCACUCCUUUCUUCACCAGUACCGCAAAUGCGUUCCUUACACACUCAGCAAUCGCCUCCUUCCUCCGCACGUCAUAGUUCUCGACAAGAAGAAACAAGAACUCAAGUAGCAUGUUUGUGAUAUCAGUAUACUGAGACACUGAGUUUACCAUCAGGAGCAUUGCAGGCUCAAUAUUCAUGAGAUUGCCCUUACCCUCGUCGAAAAACAACCAGUCAUAGAACAGCGCAACCUUUGCAUUCGCCUGCACAUAGCUCUUAUUGCAGCUUGUCAGCAGCCAACCUAUGACCGCCCAUCGGGCAAUGACACCAGACUGCAUAACCUUAUUUGUUGGGUGAUACCCGCAACAGAUGAACCGGACAAUGUCGGGUAUCCUCUCCUCCCCUCCAGGCACCAUCAAAUGCUUCCUCGCAAACCACAGCUGGUACCUCUUCUGAUUCCCCCACCUCACAUUGUUCAUCAUGAACAGCAGCUGCGUCUCCAUCUCCGGUGAGACGGCCAUCGCGGUGCACCAACCCGGCAUGCCAAUGCGGCAGAUCUCCGCCGCACGGCCCAGCAUCGAGUCCUUCCACAGUUCAUGGAACUCCUGCACGAGCACCAGUUCAUGGAGACACCUCACGAGGUCCCUCCCGAUCAGCUCACACACUUGGGUGUGAUCCCGCAACACGGAGGCGCAAAACGACACCAGAUUCUCCCUGCAUCCUGCAAGAUUCUUCGCGUUCUUGCACUCGCCACAGUCGCUGCACUCGAGACACUGCGGGGCCGGAUCGAGGCGGUUCUUGGCGAGGAGGCGGAGGAAGGCGAAGACGGCGGAGGCGAGGAGCUGGGGCUCUUCGUCGGCGAGGAAGGAGGCGUGCUCGUGGAAGAUAUCGAGCAGGCGGGCGUCGCCGGGGAAGGGGAGGCGGCGGAGGAGCGAGACGAGCAAUGGCGCGAACCCCGGCGCCGCCGCGCGGGCGAGCUCGGAGGCGGCGAGGAGGAGGCGGUUGCGCGGGUGGGGGAGGAGGAGCGGGAAGGGGAGGGAGAGAAGCGCGGAGGCGAAGGCGUGGUAGAAGGCGGGGUAGCGGCCGCCGGCGGCGUGGAGCACGACGAGGAGGCGGCGGGGGAGGGGGGAAGGGUCGGCGAGGAAGGAGAAGGCGAGGGCGAGAGGGAGGUGAAGGGAGGGGAGGUCGGAGGGGGAGGGGGAAGGGAGGAGGGAGGUGGGCGGAGAGGAACCGGGUGCUCCGGCGAGGACGCGGAGGUGGGUGACGGGUGGUGGUCGCCGCCGGCGAGAAGCCGCGGCGGCGGCGGCGGCGGCGGCAUUUGGGAAGGGAGAGGAUUUUGGAUGGAUUCCCUCUCCUCACCUUCUUAUCCAGAUUUGGGCCCCACAAUGCGCGGCCCAUUUUCGUUGAUGGGCCGUGAUUUUGGAGUAAAAUACAGGCCCGUUUCAGAAUCAAUAAGAGGGGCCUUCUAUAUAGCGGUUAGGAUUAAGCUAGUUAAACCAUUAAUAUAUAAUUAAUAAAGUAUUAUAUAUUGUAAACUUCAAUUGAUUUUUAAGAAACUUCUCUAUAUGAGGUUUUAGCACGAAACAUAUCGUUUAGCAGUUUGAAAAGCGUGCUUACGUUAAACGAGUGAUUAACCUAGCCUAAACCCAAUUUAGAACACAGCAUUUGAAAGCUAUUUAAACAUUGUUUUCUGACAUUUACUAUAAUUUUUAUAAAACUGUUUAAGAAUACUGGCUCAUAUUUUAAGCAUAAGUUUAAGAUUGCUCAAUAGCAGAGCCUGAAAAUUAUGUUUAGAACUUGGAGUGACAUUUAACAUCAACAACCUGUACUAACGAUAGAAUAAUAGAUAGAAGAGACAGAAUUGAUGCCAAGAGCAUUCCCCAACUAUCAACAAUGUUCAGUCUACAAGGACAGGAAUACAUAUAAGCUGUUCAUUGUACUAUCAUCUCCAGCAUCAUCUAAGAUCAGUUACACUGAUAGGAUAUUACGAUCACAUAACGCCAAUUUCUCUUACACUCUAGUAGCUGUAGCUAUUACUGCUACGAAAAUUCUUCAGCGUCUCAUGUAACGCCAAAGCACAAUUCACUCAACGGCUUUGCCCUCUUAGAGAUUAGUCCAGCUGAUGAGGCGUGCAGAGAUUCAGACAAUGAUGGCAUGUAACAGCCAUGGCCUUCCUGUAGGAGUUUAGCUGUUGCUGGGGUUCAAGAUCUCACCAAGAUUCAACUGCAAGCUGUUCCUCAUGGUUCUCCUUCCAGCUCCACCAGCAUUGCCCUUUCUCAUCAUCGCCGUGAACUCGCUGUAGUCAAUUUGUCCGUCCUGAAAACGGGUGAAGAAAUCAAUUGGUGAACAAACAAGUCAAAAAUUGGACAAACUACAGAAUGCAGAGUAUAAGAACAACUCACAUUGUUUUGAUCAACAUCUUUAAUCAUAUCCUCAAGGUGAAGAUCAUCAAGGCCAAAUUCGCGGCAUGCUUGUGACAGCUCAUCAAUAGUUAUGAAACCACUUCCAUCUUUGUCGAAAAAUGAGAAUGCUGAUACUAAGUUUUCCUCCCUCUCUAGCUUAUUCAUGUGGAGAGUAGCAGCAAUGAAUUCACCAUAGUCGAUGGUUCCACUGUUGUCGAUAUCAGCCUGAAACAAAUGAACAUAUUACAAUUUAGCAAAAGCAGCAAGACAUGCUAUCUUAAAUCUUAAUACAAAACACCUUUCUUUCCUAGUGAAGGAUUUUUCUUUUCCAUUUUAGCAAAGGCAAGAGAGAUGCCGAGAUGUAAAUUACGAGACAUAAAAAUUACAGCAUGCAAGAAAUACAAAAUGCUGAGGAUCAGAAGGCCCCUGCAAGUUACAUUUCCCUGAAGGAUCAACUAACAAAGAAGCACUUACCGCUUCCAUUAAAGCCUGGAUUUCAUGUUCUGUUAAUUCUGAACCCACCCUUUUCAAGCCCUCUUUCAGCUCAUCAAAAGUUAUAGUUCCACUAUCGUCAGUAUCAAUCAUUUUGAAUAGCUCCUUUAGUCCUCCAAUCUCUUCCUCAGACAGGCUUUCAGCAAUAACCUGCAAAAUGAAAGAUACUUAACAAUAUGUAAAGAGCUCAAGAUGAUCAUUGCAUGUUUCACAAGCUAGAUCGAGCAUUUCAAAAGAAAAGAAAAACUACGAUGCCUAUAAUGCAUUAAGUGUCUGGGCUGCCAAGGAAACAGGUUUCGUGUAGCCCCAAACAAAUGUCAGAAAGAAUCAGUUUGCUACAUCAUCUUAGUUAACAUUGACCUGAACAGAAUAGUUACUGGAUAUAUUCCAAAUGAACCUGGGUUCAAACAAAGGUGGUGUCAAUGGAUGAAAAGAGGCAUCAUGAUUCAAGAGAUCAGAUAGCUCUCUCUACUAAAAAUGCACAUGGUUGUAGAAUAUAUCAACACUUAAUUAUUUUUUGAAUUCCACAGAUGCAAGACUUUUAUAAGUAAAUGAAGUUAACAGUGAGAUUCAUUUCCUACAAACAAAUCAGGGGAGAAAAUGAGACUUGUCAGGUGCCUUUCAUAUAUGAGGCAAACAAGGUCAACCUGAGAGUAAUUGAAAUAAGCAAAUAAUUGAAUCACAAACUUAUAGACAAAUCUCCGUACCCUCAAUGCCAUCUUCUUGAGCUUGUUCAUUGCCGAAAAGUGCUUCAGUCUUGACAAAACAGCAGAAUCAAUAGGCUUGUCAGGUGCCACAGCAUCAUCAACAAUCCAUGGAUGACCUGGAAUAGGCAAUGCCAUCACAAGGAGAAAAAAGAAGACAUCCUACCUAUGUCAUAUUUAAGCAAAGCAGACCUAUGGCGAGUAAGAGUAGGAAACAGGGUUGACUUACAGAGAACCUCAUGGGCUGUAAGUCUCUUUGUAGGAUCCCGGCAAAGCAUAUUACGGACUAGAUCUUUAGCACUGUCAGAGAUGCUAGGCCAGGGUUCAGAUUCAAAAUCAAGUUUGCCUCGUAGAAUCUGCCUGAAAAUUCCAGCUUCAGUUUCUGCAAGGCAAGAGACAAUAUGACAAUGGAAACGUGAGAAUUUGGAGGGACCUACUAAUUUAGUUGUUUAGUGGCAAAUAAUUUACCUGCCCAAAAUGGUGGAACACCACAUAGCAAAAUGUAAAGAAUUACCCCAGCACUCCAGACAUCAGAUUCUGGACCAUAGCAUUUCUGAAGUACCUCAGGUGCAACAUAAUAGGGGCUCCCAACAACAUCAGAGAACUUAUCACCUGAGGAAAUGAAAAUCAGAGUUUCAUAAACUUAACAUGACUCAUACAGCAUUCCUGACAAGAUCCAAGUCAAAAUACACAGUACAGAUACAAACAAAUAAGGAACAACAACAAUGGCGAUGGUGGUAGCAGUAGGUAUGACACUGCAUUUCACAUCAUCUUCCUAAAUUAGGCAAUUUGCAACCAAUCUCAUGUCCAACAAUACAUAACACUACCAUUGAACUAGACUUAGCUGAAUAGUGACUACAUGGAGACAAAGAUACCUCUUCCCUACCCAUUUUAAGGUUACAUAACGUAAUCAUAAGAGCACUUAAAUACUUAAUGGUUCCUUGCGAAAAUUACCAGCUGGCAACUAUCACAAUAUCAUAAAAAAUAUUUGACAUGCAUUAAAAAGUUCAAAUGAGAUAAACCACAAAAGCAGUACUAUUGCCAUUUACAUCAAAGUUACUAGUACUAGGAUGUAGGAACUGUUUGUGGUAUUCCUUUUCUCAAAAAUGGACUAACUUGCACAGAUUGAGUUUCCAGCUAGAACCCAAGAACGUUUCAAUUCCCUCUCCCAUUAUCAUAUCAAUGUCAUACCACACACAUAUCUCAGCCUCAUUUAUUCAAACCCAAAACCCAAUGUAUGAGUGCAGACCAGGGUGUAACAGAAGGACAGAUGGGCCACAAGUAAGUAAGAAUCUAGCAGACAAGUAAGCUGUCUUCCAGCAAAAUGAACAAUGUAUGCAAGAACUAUUGCUGAGUUCAAUUAAUCUGAAGACAGCCAAAUGAACAAUGUAUGAAAGAACUAUUACUAAGCUUAAUUGAUUCAACCAAGGCAAGCUAUAAACAAAGCUCCGACUUAGUCAUUUGAAUGCAACAUAAGCAGUACACAAUUUUAAUGCAAACACAUGAACAAUAACAACAACGAAUUGCUUACCAAAAUGAGCAAAUGUGAAACUAAGAAACCACACAUACCAGGCUUGUAGAACAUGGAGAGGCCGAAAUCAGUGGCCUUGAGGGGGGCGUCCUCGGCGGCGCUGGCGAAGAGGAAGUUCUCGGGCUUGAGGUCCCGGUGCAUGACGCCGAGCGAGUGGCAUCCCUCGACGACGGCGACGAUGGUGCGGAUGAGCUGCGCGGCGGCGCGCUCGGUGUAGUGGCCCUUGGCGACGAUGCGGUCGAAGAGCUCGCCGCCGGCGCAGAGCUCCAUGACGAUGUGGACGAACAGCGCGUCCUCGUAGGCGCCGCGGAUGCGGACGACGUUGGGGUGCUCGGAGAGGUGGUGCAUGAUCUGGAUCUCGCGCCACACGUCCUCGUAGUCCUCCCGGCACAGCAGCUUCCGCUUGGGGAUGGACUUGCACGCGAACUCGCCGCCGCUCGCCUUGUCCACGCACAGGUACGUCGUCCCGAACUGCCCCUGCCCGAGCUUCUUCCCGAUGCGGUAGUGGUCGCGCACGUUCGCCGUCUUGUGCGGCAGCACCGACACCGGCCGACCUCCCGCCGCCGUCACCGGCGGCGGCGCCAGCUUCGCCUUCGCAUUGGCGUUGCCGUCGCCGCCGCUCCCGCUCGGGUCCGGCUGCAUUGGCGGCGACCCCAGAUCAAGAACCGUACGGACUACGGACACCCAAGCUUCUUGCCUUGUAGCGCUCUCCCUGAAAUCAAAGAAUCGAAGAGAAGCUAAUGAAUUCGAGAGAGAGAGGAGACGCGAUCAAGAACCAAUCGAGAAACGGAAGCUCAUUUACCCCUCUCCAGAAAUCCCACCGCUUUGCCCACCCCGGGAUUUCUACGGAAGAAGAAGAAGACACGGAAUUCGGGAUCUUGGAUUUCACACUCGGGCGAUUCUCGAAGGAGAGGAAGAAAGAAAGAAAAAACGAACCAAGAAACCGAGCUUUAUGGGAGGUUUAUGGCCAAAAAGAGGAACAAAAAAACCGAAGAAAAUCUCGCUCUCGCUAUCUCAGGUGUCACUCACUCCUCGGAGGAAGAAGAAGAAGAUGCAAAUCUUGCAGAAACGAAACGAAAAAGAAAAGAAGAUGGGGGGAUUUGGGUGUUGAUCCUGCGUGGAGGUGGAGCUACAGGUUGCGCACACAAGAGGACAGGAUCUUGGCGGCGUUGGGUGAUGGCUCAAUCCAUUUCUUUAUAGGAUUUUUUUCUCUCGGGUGUGUGCUGGUGAUGACGAUGACGAGGAGGAGGAGGAGGAGAUGAUAAGAGUUGGAAAAUCUCCGCUUUUUGGUUGGAUUUUUUUUGGGGGUUGGAACUUGGAAAUGGUAAAGGGGGAGGAGGAGGAGGGUGGUUUGGUGAAGUAUUUUUGUGAGGGCAGCCAGGUCGUAUCUAUGCCUUUUUCUCCUCCUCCAUGGGUGUGACAAGACAAGAACGAAGGCAGGAGGAAGGAGAAGGAGAAGAUGGUAUGCUUGGUUGGAACCUUCUCUUCGAAUUUCUAUUUUCUUUCUUGUUUGUUUUUUUUUUUUUUUUUUGCUGUUCCUUACAUUUUUCUUUGUGUCAACCUAUUUUCUACUCACUCCGUUUGUAAAUAUUACGAGUCAUUUUGAAUUUUUUUUCUAGUCAAGCUUAUUUAGGUUUAACUAAGUUUAUUUAAAAAAUUGACAAUAUUUAUAAUAUCAAGUUAGUUUUAUUAAAUAUAACAUUGAAUAUAUUUUGAUGAUAUGAGAAAAUCCUUUAGCUGGAUAAGGGACGGAUGUAGCCAAGUUGAUCAAGGCAGUGGAUUGUGAAUCCACCAUGCGCGGGUUCAAUUCCCGUCGUUCGCCCAUCCUAUUUAUUUUUGUUAGAGAUAUUGCUAUACUUUUUUUAUAGAUUUAAUCAAACUUAAAAAAUUUGACAAAAAAAAGUCAAAGCUUUUAUAAUAUGAAGUGAAAAGCGUUGUCCUAAAAAGAUUCAAAUCGAGUAGGUUUUGUGUAUGAAAUUUUUAGCAUUUGCUAUGUAAGUUAUUUUUGUCUAUAUCAAAUUUUAUAAUCCUAUAAAGUUUCGUUGGAAUGCCUUAAGGAAGCCGAUUAUAAACCGUAAUGCGUAUUUACGAUAAAAAACAGUAUGGGUAAACUUUUAUAUAUGUGUUAUUAGCAAUUUAAAAGACAAUAUUAAAAAAUAAAGUACGGUAAAAAUAAAAUUAACUCUAAAAUUUAAAUUUUGGUUACGACGGAUAAGCUGAAUAGCAAAUAAUGGAGCUGACCUUGUGAAAUAUUUUUCUCUGAGUCUCUAUUUCUCCAUAAAUUCAUGUAUUUUUUCUAUAAUCUAUCUAUAAAGUUAUUCAUAUGCUUUCCCUAUGCUCUAUGCUCUUUUAUUUUGUAAUUGCAUUUCCAAUAAACUGCUUCUCUUGGUCCUGUAUAUUAUCAAUAUUAUGUCCUCUCGAAAAGAGUCUUUUAUGCGGAGAACAAAUUUCUUUUAGUCACUGCUAGUUUUCUUCAUAUUUCAGCUAUACUUUACUGGAAUCUCGGAUUUGGAAUAUUUCUUCAGACAAUGGGUACAAACGAUUUUUUUUUCUUUUCUCUGAACAUGAGUUCACGGGAAAUUGUUGCUGUAUAAGGUUAGGACGACACAGACAACAGUAGGAAUCCAAAGGUUUUUUUUUUUAGAUAAUGUCCAAAGGUUUCAUUGGAUCCAUUAGCUCUUUCUUUGUUUCGUACACUUCCCUUCUUCUUGUUUAUUCUUUCCAUUCCAUUGCAUCUUGACUCAUUCCUUUGGGCAGGUGCAUCUUCCUUGCCAAAUGUUAAUUUUCUUCAACUUUUUGUACACCAGAUAAGAGCUUCAACAUUUUGUACACGGUUUUCAGUAAAUCAGGUAUCCAUCCUGUCAUCAUUCUGCAUUUUGUGUGAUUAAAAAAUAGCUAAAAAAAAGCCUACUUGACAGUACUUCUUCCAGUUUUGAAAACAUUAUUUUGAACAUCCAUAUGGCCUUCAAAAUGCAACCUUGACUGCUAAUUUUACAGUAUGUUUAUAUACUAGCAUGUUGAAAUUAUAAUAAUCAAAAUACGUCUGUACUUAUAAUUUUCAUACUUUCAGUAUAAGAUGUACUAGAUGUUUAGAGUUUUUUUAAGUUUAACCUGAAACAUGCUCAAAACGAUGUAUUUUCAAAACCGAAGUUAGUAGCACCAUCCUAUGAUUCCUUUGAAGUCUGCUUUCGAAUUUGUUUUAGAAUUUUGAAGCAGUGCUAUCAGACAGACAUGUCAUGGUUGAAUGGCCGACCAACUGGUCCAAGUGUGUUUUCUUCUAGCACUGGCCCCUCUAAAUAACUGUUAGUUCGUACUAUUGUACUAAUCAAGACCGAUUAAGACCCUGUUUAGAUGGGACUAAAACUUUCCCUAUCACAUCGGAUGUUUAGACAAUCCAUCCAUAAUCUUAGACUAAUUCGCGAGACGAAUCUAUUAAGCCUAAUUAAUCCAUGAUUAGUCUACGUGAUGCUACAAUAAACAUUCUCUAAUUAUAGAUUAAUUAGGCUUAAAAAAUUUGUCUCACAAAUUAGCUUUCAUUUAUGUAAUUAGUUUUGUAAGUAGUCUAUAUUUAAUACUCUAAAUUAGUGUCUAAAUACAGAGACUAAAGUUAAGUCCCUGAUCCAAACACCACCUAGACACGAAUUUGUUGGGUCGGUAGGUGGGAGCUCCGAUCAGAAUUCAGGACCACCUAACACUAUCCCAAAUUCCAAAUCCAUGUGCAAUGAUAAGUUCUAUUCCUCCACAAAUGAAUUAUUUCAAUCCUAUGUUUUCACUAACUUCGUCAUGAUUUUGAUGUGAAAAAAAGAAAUAUAUCUGAAAUACUAGUACAUAGGCAUUUGCUGACAUUAACCACUGAAGCAAAUUAAUCACACAAUUGUGUACUCGUGCUAACUUUCACCCACGAUUUGGCGUUCAAAAUGGCAAGCUUGACAACUUUCCAUGUCACAAAAAUUCCUAAAUAAUAGCUUGACAUGAAUUUGUCCAAGGCUCAGUCCAUCUUUCAGGGGGUGUUUGGGAGACAUAAGUCCCUCCCCUAAGGACUUAUUGUUUCCCUCUCUCCCAAACACCCCCUCAGUACUCUCUUGUUGAAAUGAAGUGGCUACUAAUGAUAGCUUGCAAGAAAGGAGGAGAUGAUGAAAUCAUGGUGCCCACAAAUGGUGAUAGAGAUUGUGUGAGACAGUGGAUGAGGACACUGAGCAUGGCAUUGGAUUGGACCCCAUUUCCAUCACUGUCAACUUUGUGAUCAUCUACCAAACCUGCAAGGAUAAACUCAUGUUUUAAUCAGGGAUGAUAUAUGUUCUUUGUUUAUGGGAGAUGAUAUGUAUGCCUGUUAAUAACUUGAGAUGUUGCAAGAGGUGUGAUCAUCAGAUCAUGGACUCAUUGGUGGGGUGGUUACUGUUAACCACCCUUGGUUUUCACUGAAACUGACUGAUGAGUUUUCUGAGAAUGAGACCUUGAGUUGCCUCUGCAACUGUUGGCAAUUUCAAUUUAUAAUGGCACAACUGAAGAAAGUGUGAUGUUGAGAGAUUCAGUGUAGGAACAAGCUUUAAACUUUACUUCGCACCAUCUGACCACCUUUAUUAUUCCCUAAAUUUAAAAUUUAAACUGAAAUUCAACUAUGCAUGCCAUCCGUCUUACGGUUCGUCGAAACCGACUUCGUCUAACGUGACAAAACUUGAAGAUAUUCAGAAUGAUUAAGGAUUUGUCGCUUUUGAAAUGCGCAAUCAAGGGCAACUAAUAUUUACACGUGUAAAGUAGAUCAAAAGCUUGAAAACUACGGGUUUUUUUUUAAAGAUCAGCAUCCGAAUUUUAUGGCCAGUGCAGUCCUCUUCCAUGUCUGAGACAUCGUUCUCCUUCAGAGAAAAUGACCCUGUACGUAAUGGCCAUUCAUGAUGCUUUUCCGCGUUACACUUGGUCAGUCACUCAAGCUAAGCAGUUGUGAAUGAACACAGAAAACUUUGAAGUCAAGUAACAAGUGGUGGAUCGAUCUAUAUUCUACUUCCCGUCCCACAAAGACACUAUUUUUCAGUUUUUAGAUACAACGUUUGAUUCUUCGUCUUAUUAAAAGUUUUCUAUGAUUAGUAUUUUUAUUGUUAUUAGAUGAUAAAAUAUGAAUAUUACUUAAUACAUGACUAUUUUUUUUAAAAAAAAUUCAUAAAUCCUUUAAAAGAAAAUCCAAGAAAUGUCAUUGACAAGCGUCCAAGUCCCAAAAAUAUCAUCGGCAAGUGUUAGUUCCAAGAAAUGUCAUCAUACAAACGACUUUGUCCCAAAAAUGCCAUCGUCGUUAGGGUUCCGUCCAUCCUGUGCCAUUAAGUUCUAUAUGAUGAACAGUGUAUUUAACGGUGUAAAAUAAAUGAAACCCUAACGGCGAUGACAUUUUUGGGACAAAAUCGUUUGUAUGAUAGUAUUUCUUAGAACUCACACUUGUGUCAAUGGUAUUUCUGAAGUUGGACGCUUGUCAAUGGCAUUUAUUGGAUUAUCUCUUUCUUUAAAUAAGACGGACGAUCAGAAAUAAAAAAUGCAGUCUUCGUGGGACUGAGGAAGUAGACUUCAAAAGUUGAGAGUUCCAAGCUUGUUCCUGUGGGGAUUGUUUAGUUGGUCAAUUCAAUUCCUAAUCACAGUCAAACCGUGUGAGCACAUUGAUAAGCUUUUGACCAAACAAGUAGUGGUUUUCAUAGCACUACUAGUACUUAUUUUGAAUUCAUGUCGACAAUUUACAAUUUACCCAGAUGUGCAAAUCUAGCAAUGAUGGAAAAAGUGUAAUCAACAGAAUUUUUUUUUUACCUACUCUUCCUUGUCAGUCAUGUACAGAAGGAUACAAAAUAUGACACAGAACAAUAAUCGAGGGUGUAACGAGCACCACUAUUUCUCACUAAUUCCUGAACAGCUAAAAGAAAAUGUAAGCUCAACAGAUAUCAUAACUAUGCAUGCCAACUCAGAAACUGUCUGUUUCUUGAAAUAUACCUCUAGGACAGGGAAUCAACAGGAGACAGAGUCAAGAACACACCCAUCUUUUUCUGUGACAUUGUUAUCUUUUAUUCCUUUUUGCACAUGGAAGAACAGUCUGAUGGAUGAAAUAAACUUUUUUUUCCAGCUAGAAAGAAACUUCACAAGAAAUAUCUUGCAUCGCUGUUCUCAAAAUAGCAUAAACAGGAGCCAACUUUUAACAUGGUCAAGAUGGCAUCGCUGUUCUCAAAAUAGCAUAAACAGGAGCCAACUUUUAACAUGGUCAAGAUGGUGACCAGAGAGAAAAGGUGAGUGCUACUGCUACACAUGUUAGUAGCACUUAGCACCAUCUGCCACGCACGUCUACAGCUAACCUGAAGCACUCCGCGUGGGCUAAUUAAACUGAGCAGCAUCUAAUCUAGUCUUGUGACCCGUUCAACACGGUCAUCUAGUCUUCAAAAAACUUGAUCAAUUUUAUGCUGUCAAAUAUAAUGAAAGGGAAAAAAAAACUCCAUCCACACACACAACCAAUGAUCCCAGGUUUCAUCUCCUGAACUUUGAAACCGUUCGAGUUGCCUACUCCAUCUGUUCUAUAAAAAAUAACCAUGUUGACAUAUCGUUCGAGUUGCCUACUCCAUCUGUUCUAUAAAAAAUAACCAUGUUGACAUAUCAUAGUAUUACGAAUCUGGACAUGUCUCUGUCUAGAUAUCUAGUACUAAUUGGCUUUUUAUGGAACCGAGUGAGUACCUUAAAGAUAUAUUUGUGUCUAGCUUGCAUAGGCUGUGUUUAGUUCACGUCAAAAUUUGAAGUUUAGUUGAAAUUGGAACGAUGUGAUGGAAAAGUUAGAAGUUUAAGUGUGUAAGAAAGUUUUGAUGUGAUGGAAAAGUUGAAAGUUUGAAGAAAAAGUUUGGAACUAAACACGACCAUAGUUCCACGAAUGUAACUCAAACAAUUAAAAAAAUUAGGCCCCCCUUAAAUCGUAGGAAUGAGAAAAACGGGCAAAACAAAGGAUUACAAAAACAUAUGAAUGACCGGAAAGGAAAUUUUCUAUGAGGUUAGAGCUCUUGCUAAUUUUCCUCCAAAUUUUUAUAGGAUUGUUCAUUCCAUAGAAAUUUUAAAAGAUAUGAUAGGAUUCAAUCUUUUGUUUCAAAGAUCUUCCUAAGAUUUUUUUUCCUAUAGGAUUAAAAUCUUCCAAAAUUUCUAUGUUUUUCCUAUAAAUCAAAGGAGCAGUGAACUUAGACCAUUGGCAUAGUUGAGGGAUAAAAUACAAGGUUUUUUUAAAGAAAAAUUGAAGUGUAGAUAGAUUCUCUCUUCUAUGAAGUCAACGUUACGAAUCAAGUUCAGUUGACGUGGUACACAUAAACAUCUCAUUAGCUCAGAAAAAAAAUGGAGUUUAAAUUAUUGCCCUAAACAAUAUACUCCUAUCCUACCAAAAUAUAGCAACCUAAUUGAUUAUACAACACCUAACAACACAAAUUUUAGCCAUAUUCAUUAACUCCGGGACAGGGGCAACGCUACAGUCGAAUCAUUGGGGUUAGUCGACCCUGACGAUUUUGUGAACAUCUCGUAGUUAUUUUUAGUUUGUAUCAGGGUUCACCUCUUCGACUUAGUAUUGGAUUCCGAACCAUUGUGGUAUGACUUUUCUUUUCCAAAAUUUGAUAAAUUUUGGUCAAAUUUUACUGUUUCAAAUUUGAAUUCUCAAAAUGAAACUUAAUUUGGAAUCUACUUUUGUCCCAUAUCAAAACAUCGAAAUUGUGUGGUUUCCAACAUGUUUUGGUUGAAAACAUAAACUUUAGUUAGUACUGACCCCGGAUAGUGCUCCAUGGAAAGGUAACUUUUUACAGGACAGUGCUGAACCCACGGCUGAUAUAUAUACUCCAUUUGUCCAUAAAAAAUAAUCUAGUACCGGAUGUAAUAUAUUCUAGUACCACGUCUGAACAAAAGCCUAUCUAAAUUUGUAGUAUUAUGAUGUAUCACAUUCGGUACUAGAUUGAUUUUUAUGGGCGGGAGGGAGUAUUUUAUUGCAUGUAAACAUUCCUGAGCAGUAGAGUAAGAUUCUGUUCCCAGCAAAGAGAGCUUGGUCACUAUUCUAUUGCUGUCCAGUUUAGCUAUCUGCUCAGAAUCUACAGACUGAUAAUAUAUAAGAAUCCAGAGUUCUUGAGUAG